rfam:Loxodonta africana unplaced genomic scaffold scaffold_108, whole genome shotgun sequence.
GGGGGUGUAGCUCAGUGGUAGAGCAUGUGCUUAGCAUGCUUGAGGCCCUGGGUUUAAUUCCUAGCACCUCCA